GGGGGACGACUGUGGAGAGACAGAGAAGUGCGAGCCUGGGGCUGAGCGGAGACGGGAUCCCCUUUUUGACCCUCCAGGGAACAGGCGCCUGGGGAGUUUUACCCUUGAUAAUAAUAAUGACUACUUAUCAAGAUGAAUACCAUCCCCUCAAAAGGAAGGCAUUUCAAGAAAAAAAAUCCCCCAAAUGCAAAAUUAUCUAAAAAAUGCUUAGGUGAGAAGCUUUAUGGCAUAUCCACUUAA
rnacentral:lncRNA from 1 species